rnacentral:rRNA from 1 species
CGGCCACAUUGGGACUGAGAUACGGCCCAGACUCCUACGGGAGGCAGCAGUGGGGAAUAUUGGGCAAUGGGCGCAAGCCUGACCCAGCAACGCCGCGUGAAGGAAGAAGGCUUUCGGGUUGUAAACUUCUUUUAAGUGGGAAGAGUAGAAGACGGUACCUCUUGAAUAAGCCACGGCUAACUACGUGCCAGCAGCCGCGGUAAUACGUAGGUGGCAAGCGUUGUCCGGAUUUACUGGGUGUAAAGGGCGUGCAGCCGGGCAUGCAAGUCAGAUGUGAAAUCUCAGGGCUUAACCCUGAAACUGCAUUUGAAACUGUAUGUCUUGAGUGCCGGAGAGGUAAUCGGAAUUCCUUGUGUAGCGGUGAAAUGCGUAGAUAUAAGGAAGAACACCAGUGGCGAAGGCGGAUUACUGGACGGUAACUGACGGUGAGGCGCGAAAGCGUGGGGAGCGAACAGGAUUAGAUACCCUGGUAGUCCACGCUGUAAACGAUGGAUACUAGGUGUGCGGGGACUGACCCCCUGCGUGCCGCAGUUAACACAAUAAGUAUUCCACCUGGGGAGUACGAUCGCAAGGUUGAAACUCAAAGGAAUUGACGGGGGCCCGCACAAGCGGUGGAUUAUGUGGUUUAAUUCGAAGCAACGCGAAGAACCUUACCAGGUCUUGACAUCCUGCUAACGAAGUAGAGAUACAUUAGGUGCCCUUCGGGGAAAGCAGAGACAGGUGGUGCAUGGUUGUCGUCAGCUCGUGUCGUGAGAUGUUGGGUUAAGU